AGGUCCCACCGAGAUUUGAACUCAGAUCGCUGGAUUCAGAGUCCAGGGUGCUAACCAUCACACUAUGGAACC